GCUUCCAGCUUUCUUUCCUCAAAGCAACAGAAGCCAGAGAUGCCCCUUUGAAAUGAAUAUGUACCCUGGAGAUUUGUUGAACUCUUAUGAGAGAAGGCAGAGGUGUGUUCUAAGGAUAGGUAAAAUGAGGGACGAGGGAGAAUUUCAUGAGAGAAGUCAUAGGAAUUGAAUUGUUUAACUUCAAGCUAGAUAAGUGGUCUAUGCUUUUUCACACUUUUAAAAUGUGUUCUUUUCCAAAACGUAAUUGCCUUAAGUUAUUAUUGGCUUCUAGCACAACUGGCCUUAAGAGAGAUGUGAUGACAUAUUAAAGGAGUAGAACAAAAUGAGCUGCCCCCUCCGUUCAUCUCGCCCGUUGUGGACAUCAAAUCUCAUUGCAGACCUCAUUUUCUUCAAGAAGCUAUUCCCUGCUCUGUCAGCUUCUUUAAUCCUGGAUGCCCUUGGACAAGUAGAACAAAACGUUUGAGUUCUUUUCCUAUUUGUUCGUCUGCUCAGAGGGACAGGAUUUAGUCCGCCAGUUGACCACUUGAUGUACUGAGGAGUUCCCUGUUCUGUGCUGUGAUCUGCCUGGGGAAAUGGGAAGAAAAGAGCCAAGUACAAAGGAAUGUUGGAACCAGAGUCAAGGUCCUGGGAGUUGCCUUCUUUUCUUCUCUUUGGAAUUAUAAGUAUCCAAGGAGACUGGAUAUUUAUAUCCAAUAAAUAUAAAUUUAUAUUUAUAAAUGUAUAAACUUACCCAGGUUAACAGCCAGGUUACUGGGUUAACAGCCAAGACAGUGUCUACUCUCAGCUGGGCUGGUAUCCAGUUCGCCAACUGCACUCUUCAUUUCUGGUUGAACCUCACGCUCCCCUAAGCAAGAAAUGCCUCUUAAACACCUGAUUGCUUGCACUAGAGGCCUAACUUUGAGGGCCCAUCUGCAUCACUGAUUCCAGAAAUGAAUUGAACUGAACCGACCUAUCGUUAGGAUUAGGAGACUGGUUCAUUGAGAUGGAACAGUUUAUCAACUCGACUUCUGGACUGUAAAACUUCAAGGGAAGUCUCUGAAGAGGAAAUUGAUGGGGUUUAGGGCAGGCUGCCCCAAGACGUGUCACUUUGGUAUGCAGAUUAUUUUGAGCUGAAAACUAUCAAGGCCCAAAAGACUCAGGAAGAACUUUUAAAAUUAAUUAAAUUGAGUUAAUUUUA